rnacentral:rRNA from 1 species
GCCUAAAACCAUGCAAGUCGAACGGACCCUUCGGGGUUAGUGGCGGACGGGUGAGUAACACGUGGGAACGUGCCUUUAGGUUCGGAAUAGCUCCUGGAAACGGGUGGUAAUGCCGAAUGUGCCCUUCGGGGGAAAGAUUUAUCGCCUUUAGAGCGGCCCGCGUCUGAUUAGCUAGUUGGUAAGGUAAAAGCUUACCAAGGCGACGAUCAGUAGCUGGUCUGAGAGGAUGACCAGCCACACUGGGACUGAGACACGGCCCAGACUCCUACGGGAGGCAGCAGUGGGGAAUCUUGCGCAAUGGGCGAAAGCCUGACGCAGCCAUGCCGCGUGAAUGAUGAAGGUCUUAGGAUUGUAAAAUUCUUUCACCGGGGACGAUAAUGA